UACGUAGGGUGCGAGCGUUAAUCGGAAUUACUGGGCGUAAAGUGUGCGCAGGCGGCUUCGCAAGUCGAGUGUGAAAUCCCCGAGCUUAACUUGGGAAUUGCGCUCGAAACUACGGAGCUGGAGUGUGGCAGAGGAAGGUGGAAUUCCACGUGUAGCGGUGAAAUUCGUAGAUAUUCGCAAGAACACCAGUGGCGAAGGCGGCUUACUGGUCCGGUUCUGACGCUGAGGCGCGAAAGCGUGGGGAGCAAACAGG
rnacentral:rRNA from 1 species